rnacentral:rRNA from 1 species
UCGAACGAAGUAGCAAUACUUAGUGGCAGACGGGUGAGUAACAUGUGGGUAUCUUCCCUUUGGUGAGGAAUAACACGAGGAAACUUGUGCUAAUACCUCAUAAGUCUUUACGGAGAAAGCUUUAUGCGCCAUUGGACGAGCCCGCACUUGAUUAGUUUGUUGGUGGGGUAAUGGCCUACCAAGACUGUGAUCAAUAGCUGAUUUGAGAGGAUGAUCAGCCACAUUGGGACUGAGACACGGCCCAAACUCCUACGGGAGGCAGCAGUAAGGAAUCUUGCACAAUGGAGGAAACUCUGAUGCAGCGAUGCCGCGUGAGUGAAGAAGGCCUUUGGGUUGUAAAGCUCUUUCGUCGGGGAAGAAAAUGACUGUACCCGAAUAAGAAGGUCCGGCUAACUUCGUACCAGCAGCCGCGGUAAUACGAAGGGACCUGGCGUAGUUCGGAAUUACUGGGCUUAAAGAGUUCGUAGGUGGUUAAAAAAGUUGGUGGUGAAAUCCCAGAGCUUAACUCUGGAACUGCCAUCAAAACUUUUUAGCUAGAGUAUGAUAGAGGAAAGCAGAAUUUCUAGUGUAGAGGUGAAAUUCGUAGAUAUUAGAAAGAAUACCAAUUGCGAAGGCAGCUUUCUGGAUCAUUACUGACACUGAGGAACGAAAGCAUGGGUAGCGAAGAGGAUUAGAUACCCUCGUAGUCCAUGCCGUAAACGAUGUGUGUUAGACGUUGGAAAUUUAUUUUCAGUGUCGCAGCGAAAGCGAUAAACACACCGCCUGGGGAGUACGACCGCAAGGUUAAAACUCAAAUGAAUCGACGGGGACCCGCACAAGUAGUGGAGCAUGUGGUUCAAUUCGAAGAUACGCGCAGAACCUUACCAACACUUGACAUGUUCGUCGCGACUUUAAGAGAUUAAAGUUUUCGGUUCGGCCGGACGAAACACAGGUGCUGCAUGGCUGUCGUCAGC